rnacentral:lncRNA from 1 species
AAAAUUUAUUAGCCAUCCAUAAAAAAAAUGUUCACAACAGGCAAGAAGUCAAACCCUAAGUUGAUUUGGAUUGAAUAAAACGUGUAUGUACAUGUAUGAGAAGUAAAGGAAAGCAAGAGUGAGAAUACUGACUGGGUUGCUUUAAUCUGCAAGUCAUAAGCUGUCUGCCUCACAGGGGCUUAUUGCAGAGGGGUGCUUGCCUACGCCAUACCCAGGAACUAUGCAGGAAUGGGGUCCUAGGCUGACUCAGGGCCUCAGCGUCAUCAGUGCUCUCCCCAUCUCCUUUGUCCUUAGCCACGUCUUGUCAUGGGAACAAUGUGACUGCCCUAGCUCAAAGCAUCCUACGUAUACCGGAAUUACUUCCACAAAUCAUGAAGGAGGGAGGUAUCUUCUUUGGAAUUAAAAAUGAGUAUAUUCAUUUAAAAACUGUUUACAACACACAUCUUAAAAACCUGUGAAACGUUAUUGUCCUUUUUUUUUUAGAACUAUUGUUUUUUAAAAAAUUUAUUUAUUCAUUUGAAAGGCAGAGUUAUAGAGACAGAGAGAGGAGAGUCUUCACUUGCUGGUUCACUCCCCAAAUGGCCGCAACGGCCAGAGCUGCGCUGAUCCAAAGCCAGGAGCUUGGAGCUUCUCGGUCUCCCACGCGGGUGCAGGGGCCAAGGACGUGGGCCAUCCUCCUCUGCUUUCCCAGACACAGCGGAGAGCUGGAUCGGAAGUGGAGCAGCUGACUCGAACUGGUGCCCAUAUAGGAUGCUGGCACUGCAGGCCAUGGCUUUACCCGCUAUACCACAGCGCUGGCCCCAGUGUUACCGAUUUUUAAAAUAUAUUUUCACAAAAUAAUUUUAAGAAACAUGUGAAAGGUGAAGAAGCUGAAUUAUUAUUUCAGAGCCUCCAGUGCUUUUGGUCCAGGCCAGGCCAGGCCAGCCAAGUAGGCAAAGAGGUUUGUAAGAAAAAUUGAUUUCUAACUUUGAAAUGAUUCUUAAGCAGAUGGUUAAAGCUGUUUCAGUUUUUCUUUUUUAAACAGAAGAAAAUGAAACAUGUUAAAGCUGAAGGACUCUCCCAAAGCCAUCUAGCUGGUAGGUGGCAGAACUAGUCUGAAUCCAAGUUUUUGUUUUAUACCACGUAGCACUUACUGUAUAGAAAAAUAGCUAAAUAAACUGCUCUUAUUAUCUUAGUCA